rnacentral:rRNA from 1 species
GACGAACGCUGGCGGCGUGCUUAACACAUGCAAGUCGAACGGAAAGGCUCCAGCUUGCUGGAGUACUCGAGUGGCGAACGGGUGAGUAACACGUGGGUAAUCUGCCCUUCACUCUGGGAUAAGCCUGGGAAACUGGGUCUAAUACUGGAUAUGACCUUUCUCCUUAUGGGGUUUGGUGGAAAGUUUUUCGGUGUAGGAUGAGCCCGCGGCCUAUCAGCUUGUUGGUGGGGUGAUGGCCUACCAAGGCGACGACGGGUAGCCGGCCUGAGAGGGUGAUCGGCCACAUUGGGACUGAGAUACGGCCCAGACUCCUACGGGAGGCAGCAGUGGGGAAUAUUGCACAAUGGGCGGAAGCCUGAUGCAGCGACGCCGCGUGAGGGAUGACGGCCUUCGGGUUGUAAACCUCUUUCAGCAGGGACGAAGCGUAAGUGACGGUACCUGCAGAAGAAGCACCGGCUAACUAUGUG